GUGCUUGCUUUGGCAGCAUAUAAACUAAAAUUGAAAUGAUACAGAGAAGAUCACCAUGGCUCUUGUACAAGGAGGACAUGCAAAUUCAUGAAGUGUUCCAUAUUUUA
ensembl:snRNA U6 U6 spliceosomal RNA